rnacentral:lncRNA from 10 species
GGGCUGCAGGGCUGCGGGCGCUUGGUUCGGCCUGGCCCGGCCGGCGGCUCCUAACACCGGGCGGGCGGCUGCGGCGGCACUUCCGGGUUGGCCUUCUCCAUGUUGGUCUCGGGAACGUGAAGGGGCGGGGCCUCGAGGUCAGGGGUCAGCACCUCCCUGGUUGCCGUGGCGACUGGAGGCGCGCGACGCGGGCGCAAUGGCGGGGACCCGGGGCUUGAUGCUGCUUGGGCCUGGCCCAGUGGCGGGUCCUAGGGACGUGGGUACCUGCAGAGGCCGGCAGAUGGAGAUUCAGAAACAUAAGGACAACAAGAAACUUCCCCAAGGUAUCAUUAUAGUCUUUAGACUUCAGACACACACCACACCUCAAAUAUAUACACAACUGAAAGGAAAAUUAAGGAAGUUUUUCAAAGAACCCUAUUCCGAGUAAGAAGUGUGUUGCAUGAAUUUCUAAGAGCCAGAAAAUGCAUGACACAGGAGAAGAUGUACCCUCAUCUGUUCAGUGAGAGAUGUGCAAAUCAACAUCAACACAGAACUGCUGAAGAAAAAAAAUAUGUCUCUGAAAAGCAACUUAUUCACUGGAGAUGUGAGGAGCCAUCCGCACAUCACAAUUCUAUAGACAUCAAACGCAUGAAGCAUUUCGGAUCUGCUUUAAGACUGAGGCAGACUUUCCAUCUGGACACAGCCGACCAUCCAUGUGUCAUUACAAUGAAUCCAGCACUUCCCUGGAAGCUGGAAGGGUCAAAUUCAACUUCAACUCUGCCACUUCCUGCUUAACUUGCUGUUUAACCUUGGGCAAGCUGCCAUCCCACACGAGGCCGAAGGUGUCGGUUUUUAAAAUACAGAAAUUUGGUUCCAUGAGGGAUUAUCAAUAUACUGCUGGUGGGCCAAAUUCCAUCUGCUACUUGCCUUUGUAAAUAAAGUUUUAUUGAAACACAAACAUGCCCAUUAGUUUACUCUUGUCUGUGACUACAAGGGCAAAGUUGAAUAGUUGUUACAGAGACCAUCAGGCUCACAAAGCCUAGGUUAUUUACUAUCUGCCCAUUUACAGAGUAAGUUUGCCAGCCCUGGACUGGAUAAUUUUUUGAGUUCUUUCUAAUUCUAGAAUUCUUUAUAUAUUUUAUGAAACCCCUAAUGUUUAUAUAUUAAUUAUUUCAAUACCCGUGUCUUUACUGAGUCCCUCCUAUGAAGCAUACAUCAAGACAUAUGUGUGAUACAUUAACUAAACUUUUAACAGUAUCUUAAAUAGGAUUUCAAUGACUAACAGCUCUUGGAAAUAUCCAAGGUAACAUUUGGGGGCAAAUGUCUUAUGAUUUGAUUAUCAUUGGUAAAUAGAGCAUAUCUUUUUUUCCACUAACAAUGUUUAAGAAGUUAAAAAAAAAUCAAGAAAACCCCGUAUGGCACUAGAGACUUAUUGCAUUAAGACAUCAUCUUAACAGAUUGUUUAGUUUUGGUAAUAUAAUUUGACAUCUAAACAUAAGCUGAGAGGGAUCUCCCUCAAAACCUUUGAUAAUAUGAUUCAUUGUCAAAUGUUUGUUUUGCCUAUCUGGCACUCAUUAAUUAAUUCUUUUUAAUAUAGCUUGGAUUUACUGAUUUUGAAAAAGAGAAUUAUUCUUAUUGAUGUUGCUAAAAUAUCCAGGUGGCUUGAAUUUCACCAACUAGAUAGUUUAAUCUAGCACAUUUGUGUAGCCCUAAUCAAAUCUUUACUAACAGAUGUGAGAAGCCCAGUACUGGAGCUAAUGUUUGUGUCUCAAUGAUAAUUAAAUUAGCUUAAUAAGGAAAAUAAAUGAACAAUAAUCACCAAAAUUUUUCCCUAAACCUGUGUUAUAGUCUUAAAAACAUUUUUUCCCCUAUGGAGGCUUUUGGUAAUAAAACACAAAUUGAGGGAUUUUAAUUAAAAGAAAUUUUUUUUUCAAGAACUGGUCAUGUACUAAAUUGCUUAUAAUCAAAUAAUCAAGUAGCAUUUCUUUUAUUAUAAGAGCAAAACCUAUAAUUAAGCCAAAAUUCAAAUUUGUUUUUAAAGGUUGAAUAAUCUUUUGUUUUGGCCAAUAGUAUGUGGAUUUUUUUUUUAAGUAUUAUCUCUUUGUAGUAUUUUCUAAUGGAUAGGAAAUGCCUUUCUCAGGUUGAAUGAUUAUUUCCACAUAGAAUUAGUUCCUGCUUACAACAGUGCUCCACUAAUGUAAUGGCUCGGUGAAUUGGCUUUAUAAUUCAUUAAUCAUAGCUCACAUUGAGCUUUUGGCUCCAGGUGACAGUGCCCACCACAGGCCAAAUAACUUCUCAUUUAAAGGCAAUUUGUACAAAUAGGGAAGGUGAGAAUUCUCACAGUCCCAGAGGGAUUGAAGAGUUUUAAAAAACCAAGAUAAGGCAUUUUAUGGAAGACAGGUUGAUGGAAGAAAAGUGGCCAUUGGAGGAUGAGGCAGAUGGCUUUCCAGGGAGGCCCUGGAGCUGCCACCAUGGGGAAGGCCAUGUUGCAGCUGCUGAUCAGAGCACAUUGGACGGUGUUUCCGUGUGAACAUGAAGACAAUGCUGCCUCUGUUUCUGUGACGCUGUGCUCUGAUCUUGCUGGAGGCGAAGUGGUGUCAGCUGUGCUUACAGGACAGUCAGUGGUGGUAGAAAAGAGGCCAGUGUGACCUGUGAAGGACUGGGCCCCUCUCACUCAACCUGAGUGCCUGCAGUUGUGGCCACCUUUAUUUGUGUAUUCUACUGUAUUUAUUUAUUUGCCUGGCUAAUUAGCUCUGUGCCACAUUCCUAAGCUAGAUGUGUCCCUUCAUGUAAGUGAGAGGGAGACAGAAAGAAAGACUGAGGUGGGGGGUAGGAGAAAGAGAGGAAAGCAAGCAAGAAGAAAGAGAAAGAGAGAAGAAGAAAGGAAGAGGAAAGAAAGAGAGAAAGAGAAAGAGAAGGAAGGAAGGAGAAAGAGAAGGAAAGAAGGAGCCUUCUAAUUUUAUUUCAUUUCUCCAAUAAAUGUUCCUAUAUUAAGACUUUAGACAAAGAUUAGAAAUAUGAUUUGACAGAAAGUGUAUGGAUGUGUUGUUCUAUUGCAUUGUAAGUAAAGUAUCCAUGGCAAUAUACAAAUAAUACAGCUCCUACCCCUAUUCUCUGUUGUUACUUUCAUGUGUUGUCUUAACUUUUUAAAUUUCAAGAUAAUAUUGCGCUUAUUUAUUUUUCCAUGAGGAGGCCUAGGAUUUAGCUUGAUUAGAAAAGCUGUGGAAAAUGAAUGUGCUAAUUACUUUAAAUCAAAUUGAAAAUAAAUUUUAUCCUGUUUCAUGCAAAACA